rnacentral:rRNA from 1 species
UACAGAGGGUGCAAGCGUUAAUCGGAAUCACUGGGCUUACAGGGUGCGUAGGCGGCUAUUCAGGUCAGGUGUGAAAGCCCCCGGCUCAACCGGGGAACUGCGCUUGAAACCGAGUGGCUCGAGUCAGCUAGAGGUACACGGAACUUCCAGUGGAGCGGUGAAAUGUGUUGAUAUCGGAAGGAACGCCCGUGGCGAAAGCGAGGUCCUGGACGCCUGCUGACGCUGAGACGCGAAAGCCAGGGGAGCGAACGGG